rnacentral:pre_miRNA from 1 species
AAUUUCAGCUGAAAAAGUCAUGAACAUAAAAGUUGUAGAACUCAUCAAGACAUACAACUUUUAUUUUGGUCAUUUCUUCAUCCGACAAAAUGAUAGUAAUAUUGUUCACAAAAUUUACAUCUCUCUUAUAGUUUAUAAAACCAAAUGAGAGAUAUGUAAAUUUUAUAAACAAUGUUACUAUCACUUUGUCGGAUGAAGAAAUAAUAAAAAUAAAAGUUAUAGAUCUUGAUGAGUUAUACAAUUUGUUGUUAAUGUCUUUUUCAAGUUGAAAUC